GGCUUUUCCCUCAUUCACAGGUCACUCAGAUGGUGAUAUGGAGAAUGGAAACCUAUCUACCGUGACUGUGUUUGUCUUCACUGGGUUCCCCCAGCUCAAGAAUGGUGGCCUCCUGUACUUUUUUCCUCUACUGUUCAUUUACAUCUUUAUUGUGACAGGAAACCUGAUGAUCUUUUUUGCUGUAAGGUUGGACACUCGUCUUCAUAAUCCCAUGUACAAUUUCAUAAGUAUCUUCUCAUUUCUUGAGAUGUGGUAUACAACAGCUACCAUACCUAAGAUGCUCUCCAAUCUGAUCAGUGAGCAAAAGACCAUUUCCUUCAUUGGCUGCCUCUUGCAGAUGUACUUCUUCCAUUCACUUGGAAAUACCGAAGGGACCCUUCUGACUGUCAUGGCUAUUGACAGGUAUGUUGCCAUCUGUAAUCCACUCCGCUACCCAAACAUCAUGACACCCAGGCUCUGUGCUCAGCUCACUGCUGGUUCUUGUGUAUUUGGCUUCCUCAUCCUUCUACCUGAGAUUGUGUGGAUUUCUACUCUACCUUUUUGUGGCCCCAAUCAAAUCACUCAGAUAUUCUGUGAUUUCACCCCUUUGUUGAAGUUAGCCUGUACAGAUGCCUCAGUGAUCUUGGUUCAAGAUGUGAUACAUGCUCUCGCUAUUCUGAUCACAAGUCUGAUUAUUUCUCUUUCUUACAUAAGAAUUAUUGUUGUUAUCCUGAGCAUCUCUUCAACAGAAGGUCGCAAAAAAGCUUUUUCCACUUGUGCUGCCCACAUUGCUGUCUUCCUCUUGUUUUUUGGCAGUGUGGCCCUUAUGUAUCUUCGAUUCUCUGCCACCUAUACACCAUUCUGAGACAACACCAUUGCUCUUACAUUUUCUGUGUUUGCCCCUCUUUUCAAUCCUAUUAUAUACAGCCUGAGAAAUAAGGACAUGAAAGAUGCAAUUAACAAACUCAUUUGUACUCAAAAAGUAUCCAAUGAAUCACAUAGGUAAUUUAUACUACUGCCUUUUAAAGUUAAAGAUCCUUUUCUAAAAACCUGAUGCUGAAGAAUGACUGC